ensembl:lncRNA
GGAGAAUUUUAGGCGCACCAGUUCAGCAUAAAAUAAGCGCACAUACCAAACAAAAUAAGCAACUGUUUUAUUGAGUUUUUGGCUGCAUGGUGUUCUGGAUUUAGAUAUUAGUUCAGAUUUCACAUUUAGUCAUGUGGCUGUGGAUUUGUCUCAGCCUGAAUGACCUUGCCUAUCCCCUGGAGGUCACAAAACGCUUGCCGUUGAAUACAUACAUAAAGACAAUGGCAUUAGCAGCUUUUUUGAACACACACACACAUGCUAAUAGACAGAUGCACAGGAGAGGUGGACCAGAUCACAUCUGCCUCAGAGUUACUCAGGUGUGAUGGGAUUGCUAGAAUACUGACAUGGGAUGUUUGAGGGGGGGGAAAGAAAUCACAGAAAGGCCUGUGCUAUACCUCAACUAUUCAAGCAUAUACAAUAGAUCCCAGGCUUGCAGUGAGUGCAUUGCCUGAUGGGCGUAACAGCAAAUCAGGCAAUGCACUGCUGCUUUAUCUAGCUGCUUGCAUGGUUAAUCGGUGAGCUACACUCAAAUGGUGCAUCUCUUUGAGGUUGCCCAACAAUGAGUCAGCUACCUACAUUAGGUCUGGAAACAACUCCCGAACAAAUCAAUGAUUGCCCCAUUUCUUUUUUUUUCUUUCCCUACUUCUUUUCUUUUUUUAAUUCAUUUUGUUUAAUAGUCUGUAAUAGUUACCACAUAUCAUUAAGGCCAACCUCUGUGGCUUCUAACAGCGCUGUAGGCAAGCCAAGUGUUUGUUGUCGGCAUUUUAUUGGCUUCCAGGGAGGAGGGUUGUUGUUGUUCAGUGUAAUCUUGGCACGCCAAUAACAGGUUUCAAUAAAAGCAGCUGCUUUCUUAUGGUAGUUGAGCCGCUCUCUCCCCUACUCCUUUUUGCAAGUGUGUUGAGUGGAAUAAAUGGAGCGCUUCCUGUAGAGAAGAGUUUGAGUGUCUCCAUUUGUCCAAACACAUCUGCAGAUUUUCUUUUCUUCUUUCUUGCUGUAGCUCUCAAAAAUGUUCAGAAAUCACUUGGUGCGUUUGUUUGUCUUUCUUGUCGUCUCUGUCACUCAUUUCUACAGCAGGUUGAUGUGGUUUAUAAGCUAUGACAUAGCACAACAAGUUUAACCACACUGCCCCCUUCAGGAUACAGAAGGUUAUUGCAAAUCAACCAAGAUGAAAUAGCAGAUAUUUCAAAGAUUUUCUUGCAGUAUUACAUCUGUCCUUCUGAAGUAGGUUUGCAUACUUUUGAAACACAGGUGAACAACACUGUACGACUAAACUAGAUGUGUUUCAGUGAUAUUAAGUACCUAUCCUAUAAUAAUUCCGGCACAAUCAGCACUUUAAAAAUACAAAAUAAAAAAGAGGGCAGUUCUUGCCCAACUUGCUGCACAAAGUUCCCUUAAAAAUCCUUGUAACCAUAAAG